CCUACGGGAGGCAGCAGUAGGGAAUCUUCCACAAUGGACGAAAGUCUGAUGGAGCAACGCCGCGUGAGUGAAGAAGUAUUUCGGUAUGUAAAGCUCUAUCAGCAGGGAAGAAGAUGACGGUACCUGACCAAGAAGCCCCGGCUAACUACGUGCCAGCAGCCGCGGUAAUACGUAGGGGGCAAGCGUUAUCCGGAUUUACUGGGUGUAAAGGGGGCGCAGACGGCAAUGCAAGCCAGGAGUGAAAGCCCGGGGCCCAACCCCGGGACUGCUCUUGGAACUGCAUGGCUGGAGUACAGGAGGGGCAGGCGGAAUUCCUAGUGUAGCGGUGAAAUGCGUAGAUAUUAGGAGGAACACCGGUGGCGAAGGCGGCCUGCUGGACUGUGACUGACGUUGAGGCCCGAAGGCGUGGGGAGCAAACAGGAUUAGAUACCCUUGUAGUC
rnacentral:rRNA from 1 species